CAGAUCAGAAAGGAUAUCCUGACUGAGGCAGCAGGUACACGCAGGACACAGGACAUUGGAAACAGUUUGAAACCUCAUGACCAGGGACUCUACUUUCUGCUAGCUAAUGUAUUAAUUUACAAACCCAUUGGCUAUCGCUGGGGACUGGUGACUGGUGACACAAAGCAGCUUGUGGACCUUUGGCAGGAAGGAGCCUUCUGGUUGUCUCAGUAGGAAGAUGACUCCCCCCAACUCUGUGUGUAAAUACGAGGGUGACCUUUGCAUUCAGGAAGAGGAUAUACUAGUUAGGACACCUCUAGCCAGAGUCACAGUGACCCUUGUUAGUCAAAAUGUGAUCCCUUGAUGCCUAGCAUGCACUAUAUUUUUAUCAGGGAAAAAAACUUCCAGAGGGUCCCUUGGUUCUCAUUGAGCAAAAUAGAUCACCUUUAGCAGCAAGGAAGUUUGCAAAAAUGGACUUUUGUUCUUUUCAUUUUCUAUGGUAGCUGGGGAUAUAGCUCAGUUGGUAGAGUGCUUCCUACUUCACAUGCACAAGGUCCUGGGUUAAAACCUCACCACCACCAAAAAAAAAAUGGCAGAUUUACUUUGGGGCUGGGGUUGUGGCUCAGUAGAGCACUUGCCUAGCACAUGCAAGGGUCUGGGUUUGAUCCUCAGCACCACAUAAAAUAAAUAAAUAAAGAUUUUGUGUCUAACUACAAUUUUAAAAAAAAUUUUUAAUUAAAAAAAAAAGCAACUCAUGGACAAGCAGCCUAGAAAGGGCUAUUAAGUAGCCAGUUAUCAGUGGGUGCCAUAAAAUACACACAGGAGAUGGAAAUGCACAUGUGGCAAACUUGACAAAUUAAAUUAUUUAUCAGUUAGCCGUUUAAUAGAGGAAACAGGAAAGAUCAGGAUCUUCUAUUAGUUUUCUGUUGUUAGUUGAUUUUGAUCUAGUAUUUUUCUGGUUAAUUGAUUUGCUUUUUGUUUCUUCAGAUAAAAAUAUUCAAAAGAUUUUCUUUGAAGCCCAGAAUUUGCAUUUGAAUGUAAAUUUUGUGUAUUGUACCUUGAUCAAUGUUGCAAAACUCAGUAAAGACAUAGGUGAAGAGAUUAAAAAGCAAGGUAAUAGAACAUAUUUAUAAAUGCUUUUCAAAUUAAUAAAUGUGUCUGGAUGCCGUGGCACAUGCCUGUAAUCUCAGCAGCUCAGGAGGCUGAGUCAGGAGGAUCUGCAAGUUCAAAGUCAGCCUCAGCAAUUUAGCAAGGUCCUAAGCAACUUAGUGAAUCUCUGUUUCACAAUAAAAAUAAAAAAGGGCUAGAGAUAUGGCUCAAUGGUUAAUUAAAUUCCCCUGGGUUCAAUCCUUGGUCUCCAAAAGUAAAAUAAAACAAAGCAAAGUAAUAAAUUGUUAUCCAAAGCUGCUAUAUUAUAAAAACCACUUAAUACAGAAAUUUUUACAAUACAAUCAUGGUUGUAUUUCAGAAGCAGUCACCACUUAGCUGCUUAGAAAAGAAAUGGAAAUAACUUAAGUGAGCAAUGACAGGGGAUUGGUUGGAUGACACAGUCAUACAAUGAAAUGCUAUACAACCAUAAAAAUAGUUGUUUUUGAUGGUAUUUAGUAUCAUGAGAAAAUGUUAAAAAUAUAUUAUUAAGUAAGAUAAUUACAUGCCUGUAAUCCCAACAAAUUGGGAAGCUAAGGCAAGAGGAUCAUAAGUUCAAGC
rnacentral:lncRNA from 1 species